rnacentral:rRNA from 1 species
AUACGGAGGGUGCAAGCGUUACUCGGAAUCACUGGGCGUAAAGCGCGCGCAGGCGGUCUUUUAAGUUGGAUGUGAAAGCCUACGGCUCAACCGUAGAACUGCAUCCAAAACUAUUAGACUAGAGUGUGGGAGAGGAAGAUGGAAUUAGUUGUGUAGGGGUAAAAUCCGUAGAGAUACCUAGGAAUACCAAAAGCGAAGGCAAUCUUCUGGAACACUACUGACGCUGAGGCGCGAAAGCGUGGGGAGCAAACAGGAUUAGAAACCCUAGUAGUCC